CACGUAGGGCGCAAGCGUUGUCCGGAAUUAUUGGGCGUAAAGAGCUCGUAGGCGGUCUGUUACGUCUGCUGUGAAAACCCAGGGCUUAACCCUGGGCUUGCAGUGGAUACGGGCAGACUAGAGGCAGGUAGGGGAGAAUGGAAUUCCUGGUGUAGCGGUGAAAUGCGCAGAUAUCAGGAGGAACACCGAUGGCGAAGGCAGGUCUCUGGGCCACUACUGACACUGAGAAGCGAAAGCAUGGGGAGCGAACAGG
rnacentral:rRNA from 1 species